rnacentral:rRNA from 1 species
AACGAACGCUGGCGGCAUGCCUAACACAUGCAAGUCGAACGAGACCUUCGGGUCUAGUGGCGCACAGGUGCGUAACGCGUGGGAAUCUGCCCUUCGGUUGGGAAUAACUGAGAGAAAUUUCAGCUAAUACCUUAUAAUGUCUUCGGACCAAAGAUUUAUCGCCGAGGGAUGAGCCCGCGUAGGAUUAGGUAGUUGGUGGGGUAAUGGCCUACCAAGCCGACGAUCCUUAGCUGGUCUGAGAGGAUGAUCAGCCACACUGGGACUGAGACACGGCCCAGACUCCUACGGGAGGCAGCAGUGGGGAAUAUUGGACAAUGGGCGAAAGCCUGAUCCAGCAAUGCCGCGUGAGUGAUGAAGGCCUUAGGGUUGUAAAGCUCUUUUACCCGGGAUGAUAAUGACAGUACCGGGAGAAUAAGCUCCGGCUAACUCCGUG